GGAUUAGGCAUGCAAGUCGAGCGCGAAAGUCUUCGGACAAGUAGAGCGGCGAAAGGGUGAGUAAUGCAUAGACAAUCUACCCCACGGACUGGGAUAACCACUGGAAACGGUGGCUAAUACCGGAUGGCCUUGCGGAGCGGCAUCGCUUUGCAAGUAAAUGGUUGCUCUCGGGCUUCUGCCAGCGGAGGGGUCUAUAUCCCAUCAGCUUGUUGGUGAGGUAACGGCUCACCAAGGCGACGACGGGUAGCCGGACUGAGAGGUUGGCCGGUCACAUCGGGACUGAGACACUGCCCGGACUCCUACGGGAGGCUGCAGUCGAGAAUCUUCCGCAAUGGACGAAAGUCUGACGGAGCGACGCCGCGUGCAGGAUGAAGGCCUUCGGGUUGUAAACUGCUGUCAAUUGUUACGAACACCUGGGAGUUAAUAGCCCUCCAGGUUGACCAUCGUGUGAGGAAGCCCUGGCUAACUCCGUGCCAGCAGCCGCGGUAAUACGGAGAGGGCAAGCGUUGUUCGGAAUCACUGGGCAUAAAGCGCACGCAGGCGGGGUUUCAAGUCGGUUGUGAAAUCCCGGGGCUCAACCCCGGAACUGCUUCCGAAACUGAAAGUCUGGAGGACGAGAGGGGAGAGUGGAACUUCUGGUGGAGCGGUGAAAUGCGUAGAUAUCAGAAGGAACACCAGUGGCGAAAGCGGCUCUCUGGCUCGUAUCUGACGCUGAGGUGCGAAAGCAUGGGUAGCAAACGGGAUUUGAUACCCCGGUAGUCCAUGCCGUAAACGAUGAGCACUAGGCAGUGGAGACCCCGAUGCCCUCUUUGCUGGAGCUAAUGUUUUAAGUGCUCCGCCUGGGGAGUACAGUCGCAAGACCGAAACUCAAAGGAAUUGACGGGGGCUCACACAAGCGGUGGAGCAUGUGGUUUAAUUCGAAGCAACGCGCAAAACCUUACCUGGGUUUGACAUGUGCGGAUUAGCCGGUGGAAACAUUGGUGACGCUCGCAAGAGUGGAACGUACACAGGUGCUGCAUGGCUGUCGUCAGCUCGUGUCGUGAGAUGUCGGGUUAAGUCCCUUAACGAGCGAAACCCUUAUCGUUAGUUGCCAGCGGGUAAUGCCGGGGACUCUAGCGAGACUGCCGUGGUUAACACGGAGGAAGGUGGGGAUGACGUCAAGUCCUCAUGGCCCUUAUGCCCAGGGCUACACACGUGCUACAAUGGUAGAUACAAAGCGCCGCGAGACCGUAAGGUGGAGCAAAUCGCAUAAAGUCUAUCCCAGUACAGAUUGUGGGCUGCAAUUCGCCCGCAUGAAGUUGGAAUCGCUAGUAAUCGCGUAUCAGCAUCGACGCGGUGAAUAUGUUCCUGAGCCUUGUACACACCGCCCGU
rnacentral:rRNA from 1 species